rnacentral:rRNA from 1 species
AGAGUUUGAUCCUGGCUCAGAAUCAACGCUGGCGGCGUGCCUAACACAUGCAAGUCGCACGAGAAAGGGUAGCAAUACCUGAGUAAAGUGGCGCACGGGUGAGUAACACGUGACUAACCUACCCUCGAGUGGGGAAUAACCUAGAGAAAUCUGGGCUAAUACCGCAUAACACUUACGAGUCAAAGCAGCAAUGCGCUUGGGGAGGGGGUCGCGGCCGAUUAGCUAGUUGGCGGGGUAAUGGCCCACCAAGGCGAUGAUCGGUAUCCGGCCUGAGAGGGCGCACGGACACACUGGAACUGAAACACGGUCCAGACUCCUACGGGAGGCAGCAGUGGGGAAUUUUGCGCAAUGGGGGAAACCCUGACGCAGCAACGCCGCGUGGAGGAUGAAAUAUCUUGGUAUGUAAACUCCUUUCGAUGGGGAAGAUUAUGACGGUACCCAUAGAAGAAGCCCCGGCUAACUUCGUGCCAGCAGCCGCGGUAAUACGAGGGGGGCAAGCGUUGUUCGGAUUUAUUGGGCGUAAAGGGUGCGUAGGCGGUUUGGCAAGUCUGAUGUGAAAUCUAUGGGCUCAACCCAUAGUCUGCAUCAGAAACUGCCGGGCUUGAGUAUGGGAGAGGUGAGUGGAAUUUCCGGUGUAGCGGUGAAAUGCGUAGAUAUCGGAAGGAACACCUGUGGCGAAAGCGGCUCACUGGACCAUUACUGACGCUGAUGUACGAAAGCUAGGGGAGCAAACAGGAUUAGAUACCCUAGUAGUCC